AGGUUGUUUCCCUGCAUGCACUGGGCGCCGUAGCGGGACGUGGGGUAGGGCUCGGCGCGCAGCAGCAGGGAGAUGAAGCCCGACAGAGAAACAACUGCAGCUUCCAUGAAGCCGCCUGGCGAAACGACUCCACCGCUGCCAGCGAUUCAGACGUUUGAUUCCAACCGAAGUGUCUUCCCGUCAACGAAGUCUUCGACAAAUGAUAUGAUGUUCGACACGGAAAAGAGGUGAUGUAAGCAGAACCAGGAGACCUGGGCGACCCCGGCGGACGCUGAACGGUCCUGAGACCUCUUCCAGGAACCCAGGAACCAGAUACCAGCAUUAAACACUCAUAUCAGCUUUCCAGGAAUACUUUAUUAUUUAUUUCAUCCUUAAUUUUCCUGUGAAAACAACUAGUUUAGAGUAACACAGGUUACUAAAAGCAACUAGCUGAGCUGUAUUUGUGUAGAAGGUCUUCAGUCAGGAGAGAAACCUGAAAAUUUCCACAUCUCCCAAAAAAAAAUGUUCAACCGAAAUAUAUCAGUUUAAUAAUAUUUACACA